GCCUGCCCAGGUCUGUGCUGAGGAGAACACUGCUCCGCCUUUGCUGUAUCUCCGAAGUGUGUGCAGAGGAGAACUCAGCUCCGCCCUGGCGAUGCUCUCCGUGUGGGUGCUGGGAAGAAUGCAGCUCCGCCCUCGCAAAGGUGCACAGCGCCGGCGCAGGCGCAGGGGGGCCCACAGCGCCGGAGCAGGUGCAGAAAGUCAGAAGGUCCAUGAGGGGAAGGUGAGACACCUGGGGCAGAGAAAAAAAUAAAAUACUGCGCCGCCCAGAAGUGGGGCCUGGGUCCCCCACGGACGAACGUCCCUAC
rnacentral:lncRNA from 1 species